ACUUGGUUGACACAUGUCAUCGUAUCCCAAAUUCGUAGAUCGAUGCUCGUGCUUUUGAUCACUGGAUUGUCUUGCCCACACUCUAUUAUUUAUAUACCGCUGGACU